GCAUCGUCCCACGCGUCCCUCCUUCCGUGGUCUCACCGGCGACCCCCUCAGCACAGCACCUUGCCCGGCCGGCUGCCCCUCCGCAGUGCCUUGGCCCCAUCGUUGCCCGAGCUGCAUCUCCCGCACCCUCGUCGCCUGAGCCGCCACUGUGCCUUGGCCCCACGAGCCGUCAUGCCUAGCCCCGUGUGCAGCCGUGCUCCUAGUCCGUCGUCGUGCCUUGGCCCUACGUGCCGCUGUGCCUGGCUCGCGCCUGCCUGUAUUCGCCAACCACUACGGCGAAGACUAGUGGUUGCUUGAGAUCAGCGCUGGUUGCCUCGUGUGAAGGAUGUUGAUGUCGAAUGGAUUGGCUAGGCGGGCGUUAACCUACCAGACUGAUACACUGUUGCUCUUAUUAUUAGGCACUAGCAUAGCUAAAGGCUCUAGGCAACCGUUUGUCAUGGAGACAGUGAAAGAUGAUGAUGCUGCAAAACUGGGUUUGAUAUCAGGUAAACAUCUGCUAUUCGACACUUCUGUAAUAGUAAGCAGAAAGGAGCAAGUCCUCAUUUUUUAUAUGUGCAAUGUUGCUUUCAUGCUACACGAGAGGGGUGAAUGCUAGUUAUAAAACAAUGGAUUAUUUGACAUAAUGUAGAUGAGAUUUUCGCAACUAUUCUUAUGUACUGCAAUAUUUGAAAUAAACAGCCCUUGCAAGAUGUUAGGGUCCUCCUAAAACAUAUGAAUGACCAUUGGAUUAGUCUAACAUUACUCUUUAGGCUUCCUAGACCAUGUAAGCAGUCUUUCACAAGUCCACGAUGACUUUAUUUAAACAUGGAGUUAGCACACAUAGGUAGAGAUAGUAAUGGAGUGGUAGUUGUUAAUUCUUGAACUAUUGAAUUUGGCAAGGACAUCGGUUAUUGAAUUUGGCAAGCAAAGAUUUAUCCCUGAUUUGGCAAGGACAUGUUGCAGAAAUUUACAUGGCGUCCGUUUUCCCAUAUUACUAUACUGGUAAACUAAAGCUACAAAAAUGGAGGCAAGCAUAUUAACUCGUUUAAUGCCACGUUCACAAGUGAUAUCCUAGAACUUUAGUUUUAAAUGUUACCGGUGCCAGCUUCCAAUGUUUAUUAUACUUGUUUGCAUAUUGAUAUAUUUGUUCAAGUUCUUCAAGCUGAUGGUGGUAAGUGUGCUACCUUCCUACUUUCAAGCUUACAACCUUGUUUAAAUGGAAUUGUUUUGCGCAUGAGGUCUGCUUUUGGAAACAUCUUCAGUGCUAAUUUGAGACAAGCUCCUGCAAGGCAAGCUGCACUGGGCACAGGGAUACUAAACACUGUUGUUUGUGCUUUUUAUGAUUGAGGAAUACUUGAAGAAGAGUACUUGUGGUCUUUAUCUUGUGCUGAGAUGCAUGUUCUUUACCUACCGAACAUCAGACCCCUCCAGCUACCUUGCUGACGCGUGAACGAGAAGACGGGUUAGACUUUGUCGAAACCCUCUUCGCUAGUGGAGGUAUCGACCAUCACUCGUCACUGUACCCCGAUGGUGAUCGACGAUCAUGAGCUUCCAUAUUAUGUGUUGUGAUACUUGAGACUUUUAUUAUGACUAUGUAUGAGAUAUUGUCUCUUAUUAGUACUGGAUGAGAUGUGUGUUAUUAUGACUAUGGAUGAGAAUUUUGUGAUGUAAUUGAUGAGACUAUGGAUUU